UCCUCAGUCUUUCCUUCCAGAUGAACAGAGAGGGCAGGAGUCACAAGGAAGAAGGGUAAAUUUGGAAGGACUGUGGAGUCUCUACCUCUUUUAGCUCUUCCUGGAUCUUCUUUGAAAUGAAGCUGUUGUCUGGGGUGUGGAAAAGGUGGCAGGCAGCUUUUGUCUGAUGGGAGUUGUGAUCACCUGUGUAACUGCGGAACCUGGAGGUCAAGGAGAACAGGUCCACAGAGGCUCAACUUCCAGGUCAGGUCCUUCUGGUAUGGGGAACUGGAUGCAUCCCCAUGACCUUCCUACCCUGGCCACUGGGGAGCUCAAGGCUGCUGCCCACAGUUUCUGUACUUCAGAGAGUGCAGAAAAGCUGCCUCUAGAUGCUACGUAAGACGCGUCUGUGACCCUGGCCUGUUUGCCUUCCCACAAGCGGCUUAUUUUUUUGCUCCUGUUCAGGCAAGGUGUUCAUUGUGCUUAUGAAUACCUCCCCACUUUUCUUAAUGCAUUGUUUCAAACAGUUCUCCUUGGCAUUCAGAGGUGAAUUUUGACUUUGUGUUUUUCUAACGCUGACACAUCAGGCUCCACUGGGUUGAGAGCUCCUACUUUUUGACUAUUAACUUCUAUUUCCUCACCUCUUCUAUUGUCCUUUUUGCCAAAACCAACUUCCGUUUUAUUUUUUUAAAUGAAUGUUUAUUUUAGAGUUAUUUUAGAAAAAUACAGAAAAAACAGAAAUAUGGUCCAGGGAGUUUCCAUGGCCCAGUUUCCCCUGUUGUUAGAAUGUGACAUUACUAUGGCAUACUUGAACCCAUGUUGAUAUGUUACUUUUAACUAAAGUCCAUACUGUGACCUUGGUUUUUUCUUAAUGUCAUUCUCCCAUUCCAGAAUCCCAUCCAGGACACCACAUUAUGUUCAGAAAUCAUGUUUCUGUAGGCUCCUUUGACUGUGACAGUUUUGUUUUUGUUUUUAAAGCUCUUCUCGUUUUUGAAGAUCCUGACCCUUUUGGAAAUUCCUACGAGGGAUUUUGUAGAAUAUCCCUCAAUUCGGAUGUAUUUGUUUUCCUCAUGAGUAGACUAGGUUAUGAGUUUUGUGCAAAAAUAAAAACAAAACAAACAAGAAAAACACACAGGGAAAUAAUACACUGUACUUAUUACAUCUUA